rnacentral:rRNA from 1 species
AGAGUUUGAUCCUGGCUCAGGAUGAACGCUAGCGGCAGGCUUAACACAUGCAAGUCGAGGGGCAGCGGGGAGGAAGCUUGCUUUCUCCGCCGGCGACCGGCGCACGGGUGAGUAACACGUAUGCAACCUGCCCCUGUCAGGGGGACAACCCGCCGAAAGGCGGGCUAAACCCGCGUACAUGCCACCGGGGCAUCCCGGAGGCAGGAAAGGCUUCGGCCGGACAGGGAUGGGCAUGCGGCGCAUUAGGCAGUAGGCGGGGUAACGGCCCACCUAACCGACGAUGCGUAGGGGUUCUGAGAGGAAGGUCCCCCACACUGGUACUGAGACACGGACCAGACUCCUACGGGAGGCAGCAGUGAGGAAUAUUGGUCAAUGGUCGGGAGACUGAACCAGCCAAGCCGCGUGAGGGAGGAAGGUACAGAGUAUCGUAAACCUCUUUUGUCAGGGAACAAAGGCGGGGACGUGUCCCCGGAUGAGUGUACCUGAAGAAAAAGCAUCGGCUAACUCCGUGCCAGCAGCCGCGGUAAUACGGAGGAUGCGAGCGUUAUCCGGAUUUAUUGGGUUUAAAGGGUGCGCAGGCGGUCUGUUAAGUCAGCGGUCAAAGCCCGGGGCUCAACCCCGGCCCGCCGUUGAAACUGGCAGUCUCGAGUUGGAGAGAAGUAUGCGGAAUGCGCGGUGUAGCGGUGAAAUGCAUAGAUAUCGCGCAGAACUCCGAUUGCGAAGGCAGCAUGCCGGCUCCACACUGACGCUGAGGCACGAAAGCGUGGGUAUCGAACAGGAUUAGAUACCCUGGUAGUCCACGCAGUAAACGAUGAAUGCUGGCUGUCCGGGGGGAUUGACCCCUGGGUGGCGAAGCGAAAGCGAUAAGCAUUCCACCUGGGGAGUACGCCGGCAACGGUGAAACUCAAAGGAAUUGACGGGGGCCCGCACAAGCGGAGGAACAUGUGGUUUAAUUCGAUGAUACGCGAGGAACCUUACCCGGGCUCAAACGGGGAGUGACUCAGGCAGAGACGCCUGUUUCCCACGGGACACUCCCCGAGGUGCUGCAUGGUUGUCGUCAGCUCGUGCCGUGAGGUGUUGGCUUAAGUGCCAUAACGAGCGCAACCCCCGCGUGCAGUUGCUAACAGAUAACGCUGAGGACUCUGCACGGACUGCCGGCGCAAGCCGCGAGGAAGGCGGGGAUGGCGUCAAAUCAGCACGGCCCUUACGUCCGGGGCGACACACGUGUUACAAUGGGUGGUACAGCGGGAAGCCAGGCGGCGACGCCGAGCGGAACCCGAAAUCCACUCUCAGUUCGGAUCGGAGUCUGCAACCCGACUCCGUGAAGCUGGAUUCGCUAGUAAUCGCGCAUCAGCCAUGGCGCGGUGAA